rnacentral:rRNA from 1 species
AUUGAACGCUGGCGGCAUGCCUUACACAUGCAAGUCGAACGGCAGCGGACCUUCGGGUGCCGGCGAGUGGCGAACGGGUGAGUAAUAUAUCGGAACGUACCUUUCAGUGGGGGAUAACGUAGCGAAAGUUACGCUAAUACCGCAUAUUCUGUGAGCAGGAAAGCAGGGGAUCGCAAGACCUUGCGCUGAUUGAGCGGCCGAUAUCAGAUUAGCUAGUUGGUGAGGUAAAGGCUCACCAAGGCGACGAUCUGUAGCGGGUCUGAGAGGAUGAUCCGCCACACUGGAACUGAGACACGGUCCAGACUCCUACGGGAGGCAGCAGUGGGGAAUUUUGGACAAUGGGCGCAAGCCUGAUCCAGCCAUGCCGCGUGAGUGGAGAAGGCC